CUGAGUAAUUUCCACUUUUUGAUUUUCAAAUUCACACAGUUUGUAUAUAUAUAUGUAACACCACCACUUCAUAAAUUGGUUGGUUCGCAAUCACACCUAAUUUGUCUCAACAUGGCUGCUAUACUUGAGUUAGACUCCGUCAAAAAGAAGCGUUGUGUCAUGAAGACAACCAACUACUGGACGUGCAUUUCUAGCACUGGAUUAAGUGGCGAGACUACAGCUAUCAUGCGUACACAAAAAUGGAACAUCACUUCAUCGGAUGAUUAUGGAUUCAUUGGAUGAAAAAGGUGUUUAUUUCAUUCAUUUAAACCAACUUUUCAUUUAAAUUUUCAUAUAAUUGAUUCUUAGGCAUUAUGGAGUAAAAACUACUUGUUUGUAACCGUUGAGUGGUGAGCUUCCAAAUGAAAU